GAUGAACGCUGGCGGCGUGCCUAAUACAUGCAAGUCGAGCGAACAGACGAGGAGCUUGCUCCUCUGACGUUAGCGGCGGACGCGUGAGUAACACGUGGAUAACCUACCUAUAAGACUGGGAUAACUUCGGGAAACCGGAGCUAAUACCGGAUAAUAUAUUGAACCGCAUGGUUCAAUAGUGAAAGACGGUUUUGCUGUCACUUAUAGAUGGAUCCGCGCCGCAUUAGCUAGUUGGUAAGGUAACGGCUUACCAAGGCAACGAUGCGUAGCCGACCUGAGAGGGUGAUCGGCCACACUGGAACUGAGACACGGUCCAGACUCCUACGGGAGGCAGCAGUAGGGAAUCUUCCGCAAUGGGCGAAAGCCUGACGGAGCAACGCCGCGUGAAUGAUGAAGGUCUUCGGAUCGUAAAACUCUGUUAUUAGGGAAGAACAAAUGUGUAAGUAACUAUGCACGUCUUGACGGUACCUAAUCAGAAAGCCACGGCUAACUACGUG
rnacentral:rRNA from 1 species